rnacentral:rRNA from 1 species
UACGUAGGGCGCAAGCGUUGUCCGGAAUUAUUGGGCGUAAAGAGCUUGUAGGCGGUUUGUCGCGUCUGCUGUGAAAUUUCGGGGCUCAACCCCGAACUUGCAGUGGGUACGGGCAGACUAGAGUGUGGUAGGGGAGACUGGAAUUCCUGGUGUAGCGGUGAGAUGCGCAGAUAUCAGGAGGAACACCGAUGGCGAAGGCAGGUCUCUGGGCCGAUACUGACGCUGAGGAGCGAAAGCGUGGGGAGCGAACAGG